rnacentral:rRNA from 1 species
AUUGAACGCUGGCGGCAGGCCUAACACAUGCAAGUCGAGCGGAGCGGCGGACGGGUGAGUAAUGCCUAUGAAUCUGCAUGGUAGUGGGGGAUAAAGUCCGGAAACGGGCGCUAAUACCGCUUACUAUCAGAUGAGCCUAGGUCGGAUUAGCUAGUUGGUGGGGUAAAGGCCUACCAAGGCGACUGUCCGUAACUGUUCUGAGAGGAUGAUCAGUCACACUGGAACUGAGACACGGUCCAGACUCCUACGGUAGGCAGCAGUGGGGAAUAUUGGACAAUGGGCGAAAGCCUGAUCCAGCCAUGCCGCGUGUGUGAAGAAGGUCUUCGGAUUGUAAAGCACUUUUAGUUGGGAAGCGUUACCAACAGAAUAAGCACCGGCUAACUUCGUGCCAGCAGCCGCGGUAAUUC